rnacentral:lncRNA from 1 species
GGGACAACAAGGAAUUGAGGGGGAGGAGGUAAACCAGGACAAGUGAGUACCCAAAGCGAAGAGGAAAGUUCUACAUGAGGUUGGUCAGCCAUACUGGAGAGGGGCGAGGAGGAUGGGAAUGAGGCCGGCGGUCAGGAGGUUCGUGAUGGCCGUUUCGUUAGAGGUUUGGGAAUGGGUACCACCACAUGCACAGCUAAGGACAAAGUCAGACAAUAAGGAAAACAAUGAUUGUGACAAUAGUGGAUAUUCAUUGAGCAUUUACCUUGCUGCUCUCACCCGUGCUCUCAGAUCGUGCCCACUCAUUGUACUUCAUUGAGAAAACUGAAGCCAGCCAACAGCAAUGGGAACACCUCUUGUUUUUCUGUCACCCAAACACAAACCCACCUGCCUCUGGACCCAUCUUCUCCUUCUGCCUCGUGUUUGGGUGCAGGCAUGACCCUCCUCCAAGGCAGAGUCCACUGCUGCCCUGAGGCUGGACUCCUCUCAGCAUCUCAGUGACUCUGCCCAUCGGGUUGUCCCCUCUCUCUCUGCUAUCGUCAGGGGUCACUCCUAGCAUCAAACAAAUAUCCUUUACUAUCUCCCAUCUUAGAAAAAAUCUCUGACUCCCAGAUUCCUGAAGCUACAGCCCCAUUACACUGAAAUACUUUGGUUAAGUUCUCCCUCAGCUUAAACAUUGAACAUUAAACAGCCUUCUUUGUGUUCUAUUUAAUCCGAUCUCUCAGUCCAGGCUGCAAGUAUCCUCAGCAUCCCACAGAAAGAGGAUCAUUUUCUAAAUGGGCCAUGAUGUGACAAAAGUAGGGAAGCGCCCAUCGAGGUGAAUAACAUGGCUCAGUUCCUUCCUUUCUGACUGCACCCAGAGUCCUCAAGGAAAGAGCGCAGUGUUACCUGGGAAUCCAUCCCCGCAGACACGUGGAAGCUGUGUGGAUUUACAAGAUUCCGCACUGACAUCUCAAAGUGAUCCAAGUCAUCAACUUCCAGUAGGAAAAGCAAGUGAUUCAACAGCUAAAGAAUUCAGGCAAAGGCACCAACAUGUUGAGCAAGGCUCCAGCCUGCUAUUUAUUCCAUGGCUGAUAAAUCAUGAAGCCUUAAGAAAGAGGUAGGACUUUGUAUAGCCAACUUUGAAAAAGACCACAGAGGCCAGAAUUGCAUCAUCAGAUUAGGUCUGACCACCUACUUACUCAGUCCAUUGAGUAAGACAGUCAGGACGUGAGAGAAAACUUUAAGGAUCUACAUGCACACAUACCGGCACGCUAUUCUUUGCUCCUCUUUUCGUGGUGACCUCUUAUGGAAUGCUGUGGGAAAACAUUGAAUUCCUGAAGUUCCAUUGACUACUGAGACAAAUAGAGAUAUCUCAACUAACUCUUGCUAAGAAACCUUAAUUCACAAAGGCACAGACUCU